AGCGUGGCGUCUUCAGAGAAGACGAUGAGCUGCUUCCUGGUGGCUCCUGUGUUUGCAUUUUUUAAAAGAGGGUGGAGCUAAGGCGUGGUGCUAGGUGCAGGAUGAGCCAAACAGACUUGAUUCCUGAAGCCUUGAAGCAGAAGCAAGUCUAGGAGGGGAAGUAGACACAAAUCAAAUAAUUGUGCACAUCCAUGUGUGACGAUAAACUCUGCUGAGUGCCAUGCAAGAAAGGAGCACAGGGCUUUGACAGCCCAGAACAGAGGAACUGGACCCAGUCUGAGAGGGACACCUAUAUCCGCAUCCCAUUGCCAAGUUCCUCAGCAAAUGUCAAGGUGUUGAGGGAGAAUCAUCGACAUUUCAGAGUUGGAAGUACAACCCCCCUCAUUCCACAGAGACAAACUAACUGAGGCCCUGCGAGGAGAGAAGGCCUGUGAAGGACAAUGAUACUCACUGCUGUGGUGGAAGCCAGGGAGGCCGCUUCUGACCCUUGAUGUGCUCCAGCCGGCAUACCCGGCUUCCCUCUGAGGAAUCUGGGCGUCCCUCAGUGGACGCAGUAAAAAGCUCCUCCAAGUCGACGUAGAACCUGGACCAGCACAGGCAAAGGCACCGCCAACCAUUCUGAAAGUUCUGACGUAACUCCCAGGCCUCAGGCUGCCAAGGCAAGUUUUCUGUCUUCAGAUGAAUAAGCUGCUGUCUCCACUGUUGUGGAGGAUGAUACUCACACUUAAGGGGCCAUAUUUCUACCCUGUUGAUUAGAGGACAGGGAAGGGGAGCUGAGAGAUAAACGCAACUACGCGAUGCAACACCCCUCUUUCCCUCCCGUUUCCCUCCAGUGACCGUGCUGGUUGUGGCUGCAGCUGUAAGAGUAUUGGCUGUGACUUUCACUGAUGCCCUUAGGAACACCUGCUGAUAUGAGAGUCUGAAGCUCUGUGGUCAGACAGGCUUGGGUUCCAAACCAGGUCCUGACACUUAAGAGCCUCAGCUGCCCCAUCUAUAAAGUGGGAAUAAUAGCCCUGCCAUCUGCUUCUCAGAGUUGUUGGGAGAAUCAACCAGAGUUGUAAUAAACACAAAGCAAGUGGUACUGUGUCUGGCAAAGUGGGAAAAUUUAAUGAAAUAAGGCAGGUAGAAGACCUAGCGCUGCUCCUGGCACAUCUGGGGAGUUCAUUAAUUGUGAGUUCCUCCUUCCUCUCCUUUCCCAGGCUGGACCCUGAACCUCAGUAAUUAGGAAAAGAACCUGGGGGCCUUCUCCUGCCUCUCCCACACCCCUUUUUAAAAUUUUGAAACAGAAUAUAACAUAAAAUUAACCAUUUUAAAGCAUAAGUUGAGUGGCAUUUAAUGCCUUCACAAUAUUGUGCAACCACUAUCUAUAUCAAGUUCCAAACAUUUUUUGUUGCCUCAAAAGAAAACCCUUUGCCCCUUAGCAGUCACUCCUAUUCCUCCCCCCACCCCCAAGACCCUGGCAAUAACCAGUCUGCUUUUUGUUUCUGUGGAUUUACCUAUUCUGGAUAUUUCAUAUAAAUAGAAUCUUACCAUAUGUGACCAUUUGUGUCUGGCUUCUUCACUUGGCAUAAUGUUUUCAAGGUUCACCCUCCUUGUAGCACGUAUCUGUAUUUCAUUCCUUCUGAUGACCGAAUAAUAUUCCAUUGUAUGGAUAUGCCACAUUCUGUUUGUCUGUUCAUACACUGAUGGACAUUUUGGU